rnacentral:rRNA from 1 species
CCUACGGGAGGCAGCAGUGGGGAAUAUUGCACAAUGGGGGAAACCCUGAUGCAGCGACGCCGCGUGAGUGAAGAAGUAUUUCGGUAUGUAAAGCUCUAUCAGCAGGGAAGAAGAAAGACGGUACCUGACUAAGAAGCCCCGGCUAACUACGUGCCAGCAGCCGCGGUAAGACGUAGGGGGCACGCGUUAUCCGGAUUUACUGGGUGUAAAGGGAGCGUAGACGGGUGUGCAAGUCUGAGGUGAAAGCCCAGGGCUCAACCCUGGGACUGCUUUGGAAACUGGGGAGCUAGAGUGCUGGAGAGGUAAGUGGAAUUCCUAGUGUAGCGGUGGAAUGCGUAGAUAUUAGGAGGAACACCAGUGGCGAAGGCGGCUUACUGGACAGUAACUGACGUUGAGGCUCGAAAGCGUGGGGAGCAAACAGGAUUAGAUACCCGAGUAGUC